rnacentral:tRNA from 1 species
UCGCUAAGAAGCUAAUAGGUCCCUAGCGUUAGCCUUUUAAGCUAAAGACAGGUGAUUACCGACCACCCUUAGCGAAC